AUUGAACGCUGGCGGCAGGCCUAACACAUGCAAGUCGAACGGUAGCACAGAGAGCUUGCUCUCGGGUGACGAGUGGCGGACGGGUGAGUAACGUCUGGGAAGCUGCCCGAUGGAGGGGGAUAACUACUGGAAACGGUAGCUAAUACCGCAUAACGUCGCAAGACCAAAGUGGGGGACCUUCGGGCCCCACACCAUCGGAUGUGCCCAUAUGGGAUUAGCUAGUAGGUGGGGUAAUGGCUCACCUAGGCGACGAUCCCUAGCUGGUCUGAGAGGGUGACCAGCCACACUGGAACUGAGACACGGUCCAGACUCCUACGGGAGGCAGCAGUGGGGAAUAUUGCACAAUGGGCGCAAGCCUGAUGCAGCCAGGCCGCGUGUAUGAAGAAGGCCUUCGGGUUGUAAAGUACUUUCAGCGGGGAGGAAGGCGGUGAAGUUAAUAACUUCACCGAUUGACGUUACCCGCAGAAGAAGCACCGGCUAACUCCGUGCCAGCCGCCGCGGUAA
rnacentral:rRNA from 1 species